rnacentral:lncRNA from 10 species
CCCCCUGGUACCUCCCGGCCUGGCCAUCCGAGAUGACCCUUGCCCCUUCCCCACAGCCCAGACCUCUGAUCCUUAUUAAAAACAAACAAAAUCUAGAGAAAAAAAUUAUCCACAAACAGCCUGAGAGAUGAUCGCGCGUCCCCGGCGCACGCAGACACGCACACAUACACACACGCACACCCACGCGAGGUCGCCUCCACUUAAACAUGCUGCUGGAGGGCGGGUUUUGUUUAUGGAACAUCCACGUUUCUCUCAACUUUGGGAGGGGUGAGGACUGUUUCAGAGUUUUCUGCUAGAUGGGGGAGCCUGGGGCGGCAAGGAUGUCUUUUCUGCUUUGUGCUCUUUGCCGGUUCAAUGGGGGAGUGAGAUACGUGGACAGAAGGACCAGGAAACCCAGGAAGGGGGCCCCAGGGCAGCACCCCCACCCCCAGGGGAGGUCAGGCUCCGGGAGGGCAGCCCCGGGGCCUGGGAAGCCUGGACUGCGCCUGAGCUCCGGAGGAUAG